AGCGAACGCUGGCGGCAGGCCUAAUACAUGCAAGUCGAACAGCUCUUCGGAGCAGUGGCGGACGGGUGAGUAACACGUGGGAACGUGCCCUUUGGUACGGAACAACUGAGGGAAACUUCAGCUAAUACCGUAUGUGGCCGCAUUCUUAGCGGGAUGGGUGGGCAAGAUUUAUCGCCAUUGGAGCGGCCCGCGUUGGAUUAGCUAGUUGGUGGGGUAAAGGCCCACCAGGGCUACGAUCCAUAGCUGGUCUGAGAGGAUGAUCAGCCACACUGGGACUGAGACACGGCCCAGACUCCUACGGGAGGCAGCAGUAGGGAAUCUUGCGCAAUGGGCGAAAGCCUGACGCAGCCAUGCCGCGUGAAUGAUGAAGGUCUUAGGAUUGUAAAAUCCUUUCACCGGGGAAGAUAAUGACGGUACCCGGAGAAGAAGCCCCGGCUAACUUCGUGCCAGCCGCCGCCGUAA
rnacentral:rRNA from 1 species